rnacentral:rRNA from 1 species
AGUGAACGCUGGCGGUAGGCCUAACACAUGCAAGUCGAACGGCAGCACAGUAAGAGCUUGCUCUUACGGGUGGCGAGUGGCGGACGGGUGAGGAAUACAUCGGAAUCUACUUUUUCGUGGGGGAUAACGUAGGGAAACUUACGCUAAUACCGCAUACGACCUACGGGUGAAAGCAGGGGAUCUUCGGACCUUGCGCGAUUGAAUGAGCCGAUGUCGGAUUAGCUAGUUGGCGGGGUAAAGGCCCACCAAGGCGACGAUCCGUAGCUGGUCUGAGAGGAUGGUCAGCCACACUGGAACUGAGACGCGGUCCAGACUCCUACGGGAGGCAGCAGUGGGGAAUAUUGGACAAUGGGCGCAAGCCUGAUCCAGCCAUACCGCGUGGGUGAAGAAGGCCUUCGGGUUGUAAAGCCCUUUUGUUGGGAAAGAAAAGCAGCAGGUUAAUACCCCGCUGUUCUGACGGUACCCAAAGAAUAAGCACCGGCUAACUUCGUG